GACGAACGCUGGCGGCGCGCUUAACACAUGCAAGUCGAGCGAGAACCAGACCUUCGGGUCUGGGGACAGCGGCGAACGGGUGAGUAACACGUGGGUAAUCAACCCUCGGUACUGGGAUAGCCCGGGGAAACCCGGAUUAAUACCGGAUGGCCCUUCGGAUCUUCGGUUCUGGAGGAAAAGGUAGCUUCGGCCUCCGACCGAGGACGUGCCCGCGGCGGAUUAGCUUGUUGGUGGGGUAACGGCCUACCAAGGCGGCGAUCCGUAGCUGGUCUGAGAGGACGAUCAGCCACACUGGGACUGAGACACGGCCCAGACUUCUACGGAAGGCAGCAGUGGGGAAUCUUGCGCUAAUGCGGGAAACCGUGACGCAGCGACGCCGCGUGAGGGAAGAAGGCCUUCGGGUUGUAAACCUCUUUCAGGAGGGACGAAGCUACUCGGGUUAAUAGCCCAGAGGGUGACGGUACCUUCAGGAGAAGCCCCGGCUAACUACGUGCCAGCCGCCGCUGUAA
rnacentral:rRNA from 1 species